rnacentral:lncRNA from 1 species
ACCAUAUAAACAAUGUCUACACCGACCUCCACGAUGAGUUGCUGAGGCACAAUGAUCCAAAGGCCAAGCUUUUCACCAAAAGCUUCUUGACCUAGCUCGUGAUAUCUAUCAAACCUCUUCCCAGGUACAAUCUCGUGCAUCUCCACCAUUUGCCACAGUGUGUACAAAGUUAUCACCCAUGACAUUAUCAUCAACGUCACGCCAGGUCCCCUUAUUAAAAUGUCCCAAAACAUUAGCUAGAUAUCAAAUAUAUAAUGAAUACAAGUCAAAAAAAUGAAUCGUUAUGAACUAAAGUACCAUCCGAGAUUGGACAUGGCGUAGGGCAAGCUGAGAACACCAGCACCAACCAUGGCAGUAACAUUGUGAAACGCAGAGUACCACCACUUGGCGUUUCUUGAGGAUGUGAUCGGUAACCAAUCGUCGACUUUCUUCUGCUUAGCCGCGGCAGUCUCACUCGCUGACGUUUCGUUAUUCCCCAUAUCGUUCUAUAAGGGACACUCUUUUUGAGAUAUAGAGAGGAGAAGAGAUAAGAGGAGAGGAGGCUAUUAAGAAGAUUUUAAGAUCAGAAUGAAGAUGAGAUGGUUAGGUAAUAUUUAAGAGUUGGAUGAAGACUCGAGAUUCUCUCACUUGAAGUUAUCUAACUUAAAUAUUCGACGAUUUAUCUUCUGUAAUAAAUAUAUUUCAGUUUCAAGUUGUUUAAAGUGUUACUAAUGUUGUGUGGUCUUUCUCCGUUAUAUAAGGCAACAACAGCCGAGAAAACUCAUGCUUAACUCGCGCCUGUACGUACACAAUGACUAAAUUACCCCGCUAGUUCUGUUUAUUCUCUCUUGUUUUGUAGGUUCUUUUAAAAAGAGUGUUUGCUAGUUCAUGCUUACUCUCUCAUUCAGAUCACCUGAUUUCAACGAGUAUCUAUUCUAUUAAAUUAGCAUCAUGACCAAUUGAUAAAUGUUAUGUCCAGUUAAUUAUUUAUAUGUAGUUUUGAUGUCUUUGCAAUCAGAGCAGAGGAGUUCAUGGACUUUCUGUAGAGAUUUCCCUCCAGUGACCAUAUAAACAAUGUCUACACCGACCUCCACGAUGAGUUGCUGAGGCACAAUGAUCCAAAGGCCAAGCUUUUCACCAAAAGCUUCUUGACCUAGCUCGUGAUAUCUAUCAAACCUCUUCCCAGGUACAAUCUCGUGCAUCUCCACCAUUUGCCACAGUGUGUACAAAGUUAUCACCCAUGACAUUAUCAUCAACGUCACGCCAGGUCCCCUUAUUAAAAUGUCCAAAAACAUUAGCUAGAUAUCAAAUAUAUAAUGAAUACAAGUCAAAAAAAUGAAUCGU